UGCAACAUAAGUGAUAUAGACAGUGACAUGAAUUUUAUCAAACGGAAAGGCGGAACGAUUCUCCUCUACGCCGGCUAUCAAUAUUACAAACAUAAGACCUACAAGAAUAAAUCUUCGCGGUGGAUAUGUUCGUUGCAUAAACAUCUCAUGUGUCCUGGAAGUCUUACACUUGAUGAGAACAGAACUUCCAUAUGUAAAGGGAGACCGCACGAAUGCAGCCCAGAUUUUAU